UACAGAGGGGGCAAGCGUUAUUCGGAAUUAUUGGGCGUAAAGGGCGCGUAGGCGGCUUGUACAGUCAGACGUGAAAUUCCUGGGCUCAACCUGGGGGCUGCGUUUGAUACGUAUGGGCUUGAGUUCGGAAGAGGGUCGUGGAAUUCCCAGUGUAGAGGUGAAAUUCGUAGAUAUUGGGAAGAACACCGGUGGCGAAGGCGGCGACCUGGUCCGAUACUGACGCUGAGGCGCGAAAGCGUGGGGAGCAAACAGG
rnacentral:rRNA from 1 species